UUAUAUGGUAAAAAUAAAAAAGUAGGCAAUUUUUCAGUAACAGCGUGCUGUUACUUUUAUGUCUUAUUUUGUAAGCAAGUAGUUUUUAAAUGAGGUGUAACUUGGGGUAUGCAAGACAAAUCAGACUCCUGAAGGAGUACAGCAGUCUGGAAAGGUUGAGAGCCACUGGUUUAGAAGUCAACAUGAUUGCUGAAAACUUCACAUUUCUAACAACCUAAUUAAAUAAAUGUUCCAAUUUCUUUGCUUGUCUUUUGGUUUUAAUCCAUAAUGAAUGCUCAUACUUCCAUUUUCAGUUUGUUUUUUAACCUAAGCAGUGACAAUAGUUCGUGACAUUAUCUGUUUAAACCCUUUCAUCCAUGUUCUGGAUCAUUCUCUACACUAAGACUGCAAAAUGGUCUCUCUCUUUUCACUGAGUUUGCAGAAGCAGAUGAAGAAAGAUUGGACUGGACUUCAAUAGGGCCCCAUGACUUGCAGUCUUUGCUGUAUAGUUUUGGAUCAACAGAAAGGACUGGCACAGUUCCAAUUCAGAUUAAGGACUCUUCCUCCAAGCUUUCCUCUUGUAUGAAUAAAAGAACACAAGACACGGCAAGAAAUGCAAUACUUCAACUAAUUCUUCCCAAGAAUGCAUCUCAACCGUAGCAACAUUUCUAAUCACAGCAGGAAAUAACUCCUCUUCUGGGGCUGCCAGAGACAGCUGCAUAACCACACUUGACAGCACUGAAAGGAACAGGAAAGAUUAACAUGUUUCACAACUAAUUCCUUGUUAAAGAAGUUUUAAAAAGUGUAUAAAAACAGUUUAGAAUAAAUGUGUUCUGUGGAUCUCUGGUAGUCCACAGAACCAUUCUAGGUGUUCUGCAGUGCUGCUUCUAGCAGAAUGGCAAGGCAUGUAUCCACCUGUGAUACUGGCAAACUAGCCAACAUGUGUAUGACCCAUAACAACUUAACAAGAGGCAUUAUAACAGUAUCAGGACAAUUCACUUGCAUGUGAAUAUCAAACAGCUGUACUAGACAGCAAUCACUAACCCAUUCAUUUGUAGUAACAGAAAUCAAGGGUAGAUGCUAAAUGUGUUUGCCUGUGUACCUGUAUCCUGUUAGAAUAUAACCAAUGUAACCAAAUUAGCUUUUAGAUGCUAAAUAUUUUCAUGCCGUAAUUGCCUUACAUUCUGUAUACGAAUGUGUUCAGUUAACCUUAAGAUCGAAGAUGUGAGAUACUGCAGAAACUAAUAUCAUCUACAUUGUCUUCAUCUUAUCUAUCCCCGUUAUGAUGAAUGACCAGAUGUUGUCUUCUAGUGUAAUUAGAUUACGGUGUAUACACAGGGAAUUGAAUGUUAACUUCAAAGUGGUGGGACAGUGCAUGCUCAACAAAGACGACUCCUCAGUCAUAUGCUGUGCUCAAAGCACUUGACAGCCCUCUUCAUCUAUAAAAGUGAAACCUUGGGUCUGAUCCUGCAUCUCUUGUCUGCUGAACUUUAAACAGGGAAAGUUUAAGCCAUAGGACUGAGAUCUCCCAAGUAGUUACUUGGAAUACCCUGGAAAAUGCAAGGAAAGACUAACGGACUCUACAUAAGAUGCAUUUGGAUAAUAACCUUUUGGAAUGAUUCCAGAGAGACUUUUGCAAGCCAGCAGACUCAUCCAUCACUGCUACAAAUCUGAUAUA